CUACGGGGUGCUCCAGUGAGGAAUAUUGCACAAUGGGGGAAACCCUGAUGCAGCAACGCCGCGUGGAGGAUGACGCAUUUCGGUGUGUAAACUCCUUUUAUCAGAGAAGAAAAUGACGGUAUCUGAUGAAUAAGCUCCGGCUAACUCCGUGCCAGCAGCCGCGGUAAUACGGAGGGAGCAAGCGUUAUUCGGAAUCACUGGGCGUAAAGGACGCGUAGGCGGGUUUUUAAGUCAGGUGUGAAAUCCUAUGGCUCAACCAUAGAACUGCACUUGAAACUGGGGACCUAGAGUAUGGAAGGGGCAGGUGGAAUUAGUGGUGUAGGGGUAAAAUCCGUAGAUAUCACUAGGAAUACCGAAAGCGAAGGCGACCUGCUGGGACAUUACUGACGCUGAGGCGUGAAAGCGUGGGGAGCAAACAGGAUUAGAUACCCGAGUAGUC
rnacentral:rRNA from 1 species